rnacentral:misc_RNA from 1 species
GAUGAAGAACGCAGCGAAAUGCGAUAAGUAAUGUGAAUUGCAGAAUUCAGUGAAUCAUCGAAUCUUUGAACGCACCUUGCACCCUUUGGCAUUCCGAAGGGUAUGCUCGUUUGAGUGUCAUUGUACUCUCACACUUCCGAUCUUUGGAUUGGGAGCGGUGGACUUGGGUGUUGCUGCUUACUGUGGCUCACCUCAAAUCGAUUCGUGCACCUCUUGGUUGGACAUAGUACGGCGUGAUAAGUGUCUUCGCCGGCACCUCAGUAGAGGGUGGCUGAUCGGGAGCUCUGCUUCAAACCGUCCUCGGACAACAACUGACAACUUGACCUCAAAUCGAGUAGGACUACCCGCUGAACUUAAGCAUGUCAAUAAGCGGAGGA